rnacentral:ncRNA from 19 species
GUUCUUUCGCUUGUAACUGGUGCCGGUUUAAAAGCCGGAGAAUAGGGAAGUACGUGAGAUUCGUACACUGUACCCGCAACUGUAAUAACGGUAUGCUUCAGUUUAUUCUGUCAUGGCCACAUGACAAUAAAGCUGGAGUUUUUCCUGGUCACUGCGUCGUUGAUUUCCUCCCGGAAAUCCGCGGGAAGGCCCGGAGAGCAGAUGUAACCGUUUAGAGUCAGGAGACCUGCCAGUUUCAAUUGCAUCAUA